UGCCAGCCGCCGCGGUAAUACGUAGGUGGCAAGCGUUGUCCGGAAUGAUUGGGCGUAAAGGGCGCGCAGGCGGCUGUGUAAGUCUGUCUAAAAAGUGCGGGGCUAAACCCCGUGAGAGGAUGGAAACUGGACAGCUGAGAGUGUCGGAGAGGAAAGCGGAAUUCCUAGUGUAGCGGUGAAAUGCGUAGAUAUUAGGAGGAACACCGGUGGCGAAAGCGGCUUUCUGGACGACAACUGACGCUGAGGCGCGAAAGCCAGGGGAGCAAACGGGAUUAGAUA
rnacentral:rRNA from 1 species